rnacentral:rRNA from 1 species
AGAGUUUGAUCCUGGCUCAGAAUCAACGCUGGCGGCGUGCUCAGACAUGCAAGUCGAACGAUUAAGACUUCCUUCGGGAAGUGUAUAAAGUGGCGCACGGGUGAGUAACACGUAAGUAAUCUACCUUUGAGUGGGGAAUAACAACCGGAAACGGUUGCUAAUACCGCAUAAUGCAGCGGCACCGCAAGGUGACAGUUGUUAAAGAUUUAUCGCUUAAAGAGGAGCUUGCGGCAGAUUAGCUAGUUGGUAAGGUAAUGGCUUACCAAGGCUACGAUCUGUAACCGGUCUAAGAGGACGGUCGGUCACACUGACACUGAAUAACGGGUCAGACUCCUACGGGAGGCAGCAGUCGGGAAUUUUGGGCAAUGGGCGAAAGCCUGACCCAGCAACGCCGCGUGAAGGAUGAAGUAUUUCGGUAUGUAAACUUCGAAAGAAUGGGAAGAAUAAAUGACGGUACCAUUUAUAAGGUCCGGCUAACUACGUGCCAGCAGCCGCGGUAAUACGUAGGGACCAAGCGUUGUUCGGAUUUACUGGGCGUAAAGGGCGCGUAGGCGGCAAUUCAAGUCAUCUGUGAAAUCUUCGGGCUUAACUCGAAACGGUCAGAUGAUACUGUCUUGCUAGAGUGCAGAAGGGGCAAUCGGAAUUCUUGGUGUAGCGGUGAAAUGCGUAGAUAUCAAGAGGAACACCUGAGGUGAAGACGGGUUGCUGGGCUGACACUGACGCUGAGGCGCGAAAGCCAGGGGAGCAAACGGGAUUAGAUACCCCGGUAGUCCUGGCCCUAAACGAUGAAUACUUGGUGUCUGGAGUUUUUAAUGCUCUGGGUGCCGUCGCUAACGUUUUAAGUAUUCCGCCUGGGGAGUACGCUCGCAAGAGUGAAACUCAAAUGAAUUGACGG